rnacentral:rRNA from 1 species
AGAGUUUGAUCCUGGCUCAGGACGAACGCUGGCGGCGUGCUUAACACAUGCAAGUCGGACGAGGGAAAGAGGGAGGCUUGCCUCAAUCUUUCUCGAGUGGCAAACGGGUGAGUAACACGUAAACAACCUGCCCUCCUGACGGGGACAACAGACGGAAACGACUGCUAAUACCGGAUACGGUCCUUUAACCGCAUGGUUAUAGGAAGAAAGGAUGGCCUCCAUUUAUGAGCUAUCGCGGGAGGAGGGGUUUGCGACUGGUUAGGUAGUUGGUGAGGUAACGGCCCACCAAGCCGACGAUCAGUAGCCGGUCUGAGAGGAUGAACGGCCACACUGGAACUGAGACACGGUCCAGACUCCUACGGGAGGCAGCAGUGGGGAAUCUUCCGCAAUGGGCGAAAGCCUGACGGAGCAACGCCGCGUGGGUGAUGACGGCCUUCGGGUUGUAAAGCCCUGUGACAGGGGACGAAAGGUCUUUAUAUCAACAACGUAGAGACUUGACGGUACCCUGAUAGCAAGCCACGGCUAACUACGUGCCAGCAGCCGCGGUAAUACGUAGGUGGCAAGCGUCGUCCGGAAUUAUUGGGCGUAAAGCGCGCGCAGGCGGCCCUUUAAGUCCAUCUUAAAAGUGCGGGGCUUAACCCCGUGAUGGGAUGGAAACUGGAGAGCUGGAGUAUCGGAGAGGAAAGCGGAAUUCCUAGUGUAGCGGUGAAAUGCGUAGAGAUUAGGAAGAACACCGGUGGCGAAGGCGGCUUUCUGGACGACAACUGACGCUGAGGCGCGAAAGCGUGGGGAGCAAACAGGAUUAGAUACCCUGGUAGUCCACGCCGUAAACGAUGGAUACUAGGUGUAGGAGG